UCUUAGCCAAUAAUAUUAUAAAAAAACGAAACAGUGUGCUUAGAGCAAAAAAAAUGAUCUUCAGAUAGAACUGAUCUAUGGACCGUUCUUAUAUUUUUCCUGCGUUCUGAUUGGUCGAAAAAAUUUGGAGAGAACGAAAAAUUUUCAUUUCUCUCAUUCCCUUCGAAAUUGAAUCUAGGCGAAGAACUCAUCGCAAUCCUCACACCUGUCUCGAUUUGUAUGUUCACCGUUGUUCUACUUGUCUGUAUCCUAAACUCCGACCCUUCUUCUUCCUCCUCCGCCUCUUUCUCCUCCAUAGCCACCGCUGCUUACUCGGAGAGCGAUUCGGAUUCCUCAUGGGACAAAUUUGUAGGUGCCUUUUUGAAUUCACUCGUCUUCGUCGCUGCAAUCACUGUUGCAACGAUAUUAGCGGAACAAAAAGAUCAGAGAAGAAGAAAAGCAGUACAGAGAAGAAUGUGAGCUUAAAUGUACUCCAACAAUACUUCUCUGGGAGCUUAAAGGAUGCUGCAAAAAGCCUUGGUGCUGAGAAAAGUAGAAGACAAGAAGUGAUGCUGCUGCAUCAUUGAUAUCUCUUGGUCUAAUCUCAUUGAAUUGGCAAAACUAGCUUUUUGGAAUGUUCACUCUGCAACUCGAUAUGUAUCUCAAGUUUAGCUUUUUUUUUUUGUCCAAGGAUCAUUGAAUUUGGUUUGUAUCUUUGUUCACAUUCAAGUUUUGGUCUAUAGUUAAUAAUAAAUUACAUCUUUGUAAAAUGUUUAACAAUAUUAUAUUAUUAUAUAUUUAUUCUAAGAACACCAAAA